AUUGAACGCUGGCGGCAGGCCUAACACAUGCAAGUCGAGCGGAUGAAGGGAGCUUGCUCCUGGAUUCAGCGGCGGAUGGGUGAGUAAUGCCUAGGAAUCUGCCUGGUAGUGGGGGAUAACGUCCGGAAACGGGCGCUAAUACCGCAUACGUCCUGAGGGAGAAAGUGGGGGAUCUUCGGACCUCACGCUAUCAGAUGAGCCUAGGUCGGAUUAGCUAGUUGGUGGGGUAAAGGCCUACCAAGGCGACGAUCCGUAACUGGUCUGAGAGGAUGAUCAGUCACACUGGAACUGAGACACGGUCCAGACUCCUACGGGAGGCAGCAGUGGGGAAUAUUGGACAAUGGGCGAAAGCCUGAUCCAGCCAUGCCGCGUGUGUGAAGAAGGUCUUCGGAUUGUAAAGCACUUUAAGUUGGGAGGAGGGGCAGUAAGUUAAUACCUUGCUGUUUUGACGUUACCAACAGAAUAAGCACCGGCUAACUUCGUG
rnacentral:rRNA from 1 species